GCGUGGGGGCCCCGGCUAGGCGCAGGUAUCUGAGGGUUCCCGGGGGCGGACACAAACUUGCUCGGGAGAGGUUGGCACCUAGGUGUCGCGGUUCCUAAGCCCACCAAAGGGACUGAGUCUCAGAGCGUAACGUCAGACCCAGUUUGCCUUCUGGGGAAAGCUGGCCCAAGUGAGUCACCCAAUCCAUCCAUCGUGCCCGAGGGAUUACUACCAGAGUGGAGAAGUGUCAGGGCCAGGACCUGGAAGUUUCAUCUCUCCGGUACUCUAGCCCACGAGAAGUCAGGUUGGUCUAACCGACCUAAACCUUGGACAGGUACUUGGUGCCUUCAUAGUCUUCUUUGAAAGGCAGAUAGAAGUGCAAUAAUUGCUUGGCUUUCACACCGUCUUUGGACAAGGCUCUCCAUAACAGGAAAGAUCUGCUCGUGUUGUCUGAGCUCAGGACCCAAAUCAGCUACUUUGAGGAGAGAACUUGACCAUUCCCCCUCAGAAUUCUUCCAUUCAUGUCUCUCUAAGGGAGGAGUGACUUAUGUAAUUGGCAGACGGUGAGGGAAGAUGGCGUCUUUCCCAUUUAUAUCUAGUCCCUGCACUCGUCUUCCGGAUUCCUGGCUGCACCCUCUCAGGAACACCGUGCUGUAGAUUAUGACCUCGCUUUCUCCCACUUGAAACCACUCUUCUUUUGCUGUUGUAACAGUAGCAUUAAAAUAUAAACAAAAAUCAUCUAUGCUAAG
rnacentral:lncRNA from 1 species